UACGUAGGUGGCAAGCGUUGUCCGGAUUUAUUGGGUUUAAAGGGUGCGUAGGCGGCCUAUUAAGUCAGUGCUGAAAUAUCCCGGCUUAACCGGGAGGGUGGUAUUGAUACUGAUGGGCUUGAGUAGAGUUGAGGUUGGCGGAAUUGACGGUGUAGCGGUGAAAUGCUUAGAUAUCGUCAAGAACACCUAUUGCGAAGGCAGCUAACUAAGCUCAAACUGACGCUGAGGCACGAAAGUGUGGGGAUCAAACAGG
rnacentral:rRNA from 1 species